rnacentral:rRNA from 1 species
CGUACGAGAGUUUUUAACUCAAGUGGCGGACGGGUGAGUAACACGUAAGAAUUUGCCUUUAGGAGGGGGACAACAACUGGAAACGGUUGCUAAUACCCCAUAUGCUUUAUAGUGAAACGGAUUUUCCGCCUAAAGAGAAGCUUGCGGCUGAUUAGCUUGUUGGUGAGGUAAUGGCUUACCAAGGCGACGAUCAGUAUCUGGUUUGAGAGGAUGAUCAGACACACUGGAACUGAGACACGGUCCAGACUCCUACGGGAGGCAGCAGUAGGGAAUUUUCCGCAAUGGGCGAAAGCCUGACGGAGCAAUACCGCGUGAGGGAUGACUGCCUAUGGGUUGUAAACCUCUUUUUUCAGGGAGGAAUCAAUGACGUUACCUGAAGAAUAAGCAUCGGCUAACUCCGUGCCAGCAGCCGCGGUAAGACGGAGGAUGCAAGUGUUAUCCGGAAUCACUGGGCGUAAAGCGUCUGUAGGUGGUUUGAUAAGUCAACUGUUAAAUCUUGAGGCUCAACCUCAAAAUCGCAGUCGAAACUAUUAGACUAGAGUAUAGUAGGGGUAAAGGGAAUUUCCAGUGGAGCGGUGAAAUGCGUAGAUAUUGGAAGGAACACCGAUGGCGAAGGCACUUUACUGGGCUAUUACUAACACUCAGAGACGAAAGCUAGGGUAGCAAAUGGGAUUAGAUACCCUGGGAGUCCCCUGAAUUCCAGCACACU